UAUUAACAAUAGGUGUCCUUUUUAUCAAUGUUAAAAAAAAAUCAGCAAUGCAGCUUGUGGAAGGAUAAUACUGCAUAGGAAGGGCGCAUGUUAGCGAAAAGGAUUUUGAGUAAGGAUUGACUUUUAAAGUAGGCCGCCAGACAAACCCGUUCCCUUUGGUGGAAACACCGUUAUUGAUUACAAACUCAACGAACUAAAACAUUUUAUUAGUUGAAGGAAAAGAAACCAACCGGGAUUGCGUUAGUAGUGGAGAAUAAAAGCGCAAAAGUUUUAAGUUUGUAUUUUUGGCUGAACUAAUGUGGAAUAAGGACCAAAGAGAGUGAUAGUCUCGUAAGCUGAAGAGCGAAUAUAUUUUUAUCUUCUUUAAGACCUUAAGAAAGAGUGAAGGUAGUAAAAAAGACAUUAUUUAAAAAAAUUAGUGGUUAGUAUUGCUAAAUGCGGGAACCACCCCGUUGGCUAAAUAGUCUAUGUAGAUUGAUAGUGAAUAAGUACUGUGAAGGAAAUAGGAAACAAGAAGGCCUUUGCUUCUCUGAAUACAAGGCCUGAAACAAGUUGCUUAAAAUGACUUUUAGUUUGGUUUUUACUGAAUAAAAAGGUUCCUUUUGAAUCAUGAGCUGAUGACUUUACGUUAAUUUAAGGUCUGAGCCAAAGACAGCUUAAUUUGCUAAAAGUAAGCUUACUAUGAAAAUAAAUUAUAUAAUAUUAACGUAAGACGCGAAACGAAGUGAGCUUAAGUAAACCAGGGGAAAAGCUACCGAAAGGUAGGUGGACGCCCGAAGUGGUGCGCGUUGCAACGCGCUCAUAUGAGUUUACUUAAGUGGCGAAAUACUAAUCGAACUUCGAAAUAUCUCGUUUUUUGCGAAAUCUUUUUAGGAAGGGGGUCGAUUUAAAAGAUGCUAACUAGGUAAAGCGCUGUAAAGCCGAUGGGAAGGAAACUUUUACUGAGGUGUUGCAAACUUAAAAUUAGGAGCAUUUAAAUAGGGCACUCAGUCAGUGUGGGACAAGCUACAUGUGACGAAAAGGAAACAGCCUAGACUAUAAAUUAAGGCCUGUAAAUAGUACUAAGUGAUAAAGUAGUCAACUUUACAAUAAUUAGUAGGACGUUUGAUUAGCAGCAUCUAUCGUUUAAAGAAAGCGUAAUAGCUCACUACUAUAGUUUAGUUGUUUCAAAAAUUUAACAAGACUAAGUGCUAUGCCGAAAUUAUAGCUUAUCUAUUUUUUUAUACGUUUUUAUACUUUGCCACGUUUAUUUUUUUAUCACCGAUUUAUAUAAAGGUACUUAGAGAAAGACGUUUGCUGGCGGUAAAAAUAAAUAAUUAAAAAAAUUAAAUAAGGGUAGCAAAACGAAUCAUAUAUAGGAAGAAGUUAUAUCGGCAAGAUAUGACGGACUAAUUGGUUGUGAAUAUAUCAGCUAUAGUAACGUUUAAAUUGAGUAAAGAAUCUCAAUGAUCGAAAAUUCUAGGUUUUCUACACAACUGUCAAAGAUGUAGUAAAAAGGCGGUCCCUAAGUUAUGUAAAAGUAAUGAUGGGUUGAUUUAAUUAGGGUAAUUUUUAAAAGAUUGCUCUAAAGCAGCUCUGCUCUAAGCAAUAUUCUGCUUGCUUAUCUUACGACGAACAGAGCUCGAUAGCCUGUUACAGGAAAUAUAUAAGAUAAGCAAAAAUACCGUACUAAAACUGACUCUGGUGGAUUGGUAUAUUUUACUUAGAUUUGGUUAUAAUCACUCGUAAGGAACUCGGCAAAUUACGCCGUAACUCUCGAAAACGGCGAUCUUUAAGAAUGACUUAAGGAUCUCAGAUAAUUGAAUUGGGCGACUGUUUACUAAAAACUUAGUGUCCUGCAAAUUUGCAAUAAGAAGUAUAGGAUAUGACGUUUGCCAUAGGCUGCUAACUUAAAUAGUUUUCUGUAACAGGAAAAUCAAUAAGGUGCAGUAACUGGCGGCCGUAACUAUAACGGUCAUAAAGUAGCGAAAUUCCUAGGCAUUUAAUUGGUGUCCCGCAUGAAUAAUGUAACGACCUGAUUGCUGUCUCGCGAGUGAAAACCGUGAAAUAAGAAUAUCGGUUCAAAUACCGAUUAGGUUCUCUAAGACGAUAAGACCCUUUAGAGCUUUACUGUAACUUAACAUUGCGGUCGAUUUUUUGUUUUAAAGUUAGGCGGGAGGUAAAAUACCGACACUGGAAAACCGCUAAAUGAUUAAUUGGCCGCUUUAUCCCGAUUUAUGGAGACAGUGUUAAGUGGGCAGUUUACUUGGGGCGAGGUCUGGCUAAAAAGUAACGCCAGAGAGCAGAAGGUAUGCUCAAUGUUGUCGGAAACAACAUGUAGAGCGUAAUAGUAUAAGCAUGCCUGAUUACGAGACCGACAAGUCGAGUAAAGACGAAAGUCUGCUAUAGUGACCCUCACACACUACGUGGAAAGGUGUGAGAUCAACGAAUCAAAGUUACCUAAGGGAUAACAGGGUAGUCUUCGCUUAUAGUCCAUAUAGACGCGGAGGUUCGCCACCUCGAUGUUGCCUCUGGUCAUCCUGGAGCUGAACAAGGUUCCAAGGGCGCAACUGUUCUUUGCAUAAUGACCUACGUGAGGUGAGUUUAAACCGUCGUGAGACAGGUUUGAUUCUAUCUAGAGAAUCGUAAAUAUUUAACUUAGCAGUAGAAUCCCACUGUACGAAAGGACCCGGGAUUCCGGGCCAAUGGUUUAGCAAUUGUUUUGUAAGAAGCAUGGUUGCAACGCUACGCCCGAAAUGUUAAUUGCUGAAAAACUAUAAAGCAAGAAACAAUUGUGAUAGUUAUAUUAAGUCGCUAAAUAUCUUGGCGUAAAUAGGCAGGGGGUGUAAGUCUUGUAAGAGAUUCAGCUACCCUGUACUAAUCUUCCG
rnacentral:rRNA from 1 species